UAUAUUUUUAGAUUUUAUCAUUUUUAAUCAUUUUUAAAUUAUUUUUAUUAUUUUAAUAUAAUCUUUCCCCCCAGUGUGGAGCGCAAACUCAUGACCUCAAGAUUAAGAGUCCCAUGCUUUACCAACUGAGGCAGCCAGGCCCCCCUCUCUUACUUUAUUUAUUGUAGCUAUUUGUUCCCUUUUAAGCUGAGAAAUCCUUUAGGGCAGAAUCUACGCGUCUUAUCUUUGUAGCUUAGGCUCUAGCACCAUUUAAGGUAUACAGGAGAUUUAUUUUAAUGUUAUUUAUUUAUUUGGACAGAGAGAGAGAGAGAGAGAGAGAGCAUGCUUCUGAGGGGCAGAGAGAGAGAGAGAAUCCCAAGCAGGCUCUGCACUGUCCAAACACAGGGCUCAAGACCACAAACUAUGCCAUCAUGACCUGAGCCAAAACCAAGAGUCAGACACUUAAUCAACUGAGCCACCCAAGCAGCACUUACGCAUGCAGUAGAUGUUUGAUAAAUGGUAACUAUUGCGUAGACAUACGAUAUAUACUUAAUAGCUAUAAUUUUUAUUUGAAAUGAUCUUCCUACAAUAUCUGUGUAUAUUUCCCCUGCAUUGUAUUUUGCCUCACAUCAAAAUUCCUUGCUUUUCUACUGGGUGUAGUCUUUCUCUCAUUUUAGAAUAUUCACCUGGCUUUAUUGUACACCACCAUGAUGGCUAGCAAAAGGGCACAAUCCAUGGAAACAUCUCAUUUCAUUUCUUUUUUUUUUUUAAUUUUUUUUCAACGUUUAUUUAUUUUUGGGACAGAGAGAGACAGACCAUGAACGGGGGAGGGGCAGAGAGAGAAGGAGACACAGCAUCGGAAACAGGCUCCAGGCUCUGAGCUGUCAGCCCAGAGCCCGACGCAGGGCUCGAACUCACGGACCGCGAGAUCGUGACCUGGCUGAAGUCGGACGCUUAACCGACUGCGCCACCCAGGCGCCCCUCAUUUCAUUUCUUAAGAAGAGAGCUGUCCAAAAGUUACAGAAUCAGAGCCCCUCUCUGAACAAAGUAUUGGACAAAAGUCGGGCAUUUCACAUGACUGAAUGCGGAAAAAACAAUUUCCUAGAAAAGGUAUCUAAAAUAUUAUUCAUUAGACAGUUUGGGUAUCCACGGUGAUUGAAAUUACUAAAACGUUUGUUUUCUUUGGUUACACUUUGACUUUAUAGGCGGAUCAAAAUAGCAUCCGAGACCUAUCGAAGUCCAGUUGUCUCAAGUGCAUACGGAUUUAUCUUUCUACUCCCAAUGCUUCCAGAUAUUACAGUGAUGUGAGGUAAAGCUCCUUGAAGACUUGUUUGUUUGAUAUUCCUUGACCUUUAAGGCCACACCCUUAAGUUACCCUCCCAGGUGAAAAACAACGCAGAGCAAGUAUCCACCUAUUUUUUUAGGGGAAGAGCAUAUAGAAUUUGGUUUUGUUGGAGUAGCUGAGGAAAUCUACCCAAGUCCUGAAGAACAAAAGUUUUCCUUGAGAUGGAGGUGGCCUAACCUCCAUAAGGAUUCUAGACCAAUCUAGGCACCUGAAUAUAGCAGUUGUGCUUUGUAGAAUAUUCGCUGAGCAUGAAUGUGUGGUUCCUCGGUGUGACAUUGUGAUUUAUAACAAGAAUUAUGUAUUUGGGGGGGGGCGCCUGGGUGGCUCAGUUGGUUAAGCGACCAACUUCUACUCAGGGCAUGAUCUCACGGCUCAUGGGUUUGAGCCCCACAUCGGCUUUAUGCUGUAGAUUCUGUGUCUCUUUCUCUUCUUCUCCCCUGCUCGUGCUCCGUGUGUCCCGCUCUCUUUCACAAAUAAAUAAAUAUUAAAAAAAAAAAAGACUUCUAUA
ensembl:lncRNA